UUGACCUCGGAUCAGGUAGGGAUACCCGCUGAACUUAAGCAUAUCAAUAAGCGGAGGAAAAGAAACCAACAGGGAUUGCCUCAGUAACGGCGAGUGAAGCGGCAACAGCUCAAAUUUGAAAGCUAGCCUUCGGGUUCGCAUUGUAAUUUGUAGAGGAUGCUUUGGGUAAAACGCCAGUCUAAGUUCCUUGGAACAGGACGUCAUAGAGGGUGAGAAUCCCGUAUGUGACUGGAAAUGUUAACCUAUGUAAAGCUCCUUCGACGAGUCGAGUUGUUUGGGAAUGCAGCUCUAAAUGGGAGGUAAAUUUCUUCUAAAGCUAAAUAUUGGCGAGAGACCGAUAGCGCACAAGUAGAGUGAUCGAAAGAUGAAAAGCACUUUGGAAAGAGAGUUAAAAAGCACGUGAAAUUGUUGAAAGGGAAGCGCUUGCAAUCAGACUUGUUUAAACUGUUCGGCCGGUCUUCUGACCGGUUUACUCAGUUUGGACAGGCCAGCAUCAGUUUCGGCGGCCGGAUAAAGGCUCUGGGAAUGUGGCCUCCACUUCGGUGGAGGUGUUAUAGCCCAGUGUGUAAUACGGCCAGCCGGGACUGAGGUCCGCGCUUCGGCUAGGAUGCUGGCGUAAUGGUUGUAAGCGACCCGUCUUGAAACACGGACCAAGGAGUCUAACAUCUAUGCGAGUGUUCGGGUGUCAAACCCCUGCGCGAAAUGAAAGUGAACGGAGGUGGGAACCGCAAGGUGCACCAUCGACCGAUCCUGAUGUCUUCGGAUGGAUUUGAGUAAGAGCAUAGCUGUUGGGACCCGAAAGAUGGUGAACUAUGCCUGAAUAGGGUGAAGCCAGAGGAAACUCUGGUGGAGGCUCGCAGCGGUUCUGACGUGCAAAUCGAUCGUCAAAUUUGGGUAUAGGGGCGAAAGACUAAUCGAACCAUCUAGUAGCUGGUUC
rnacentral:rRNA from 1 species